rnacentral:rRNA from 1 species
AUACGGAAGGUCCAGGCGUUAUCCGGAUUUAUUGGGUUUAAAGGGAGCGCAGGCCGGUGUGUAAGCGUGACGUCAAAUACAGCCGCUCAACGGUUGUCCGCAUCGCGAACUGCAUGCCUUGAGUACGCUGCAAGUGGGCGGAAUUCGUGGUGUAGCGGUGAAAUGCUUAGAUAUCACGAAGAACUCCGAUUGCGAAGGCAGCCCGCUGUUGCGUCACUGACGCUGAGGCUCGAAGGUGCGGGUAUCGAACAGGAUUAGAUACCCUGGUAGUCCGCACUGUAAACGAUGGACACCCGCUGUGUGGCCUUUUUUGGUUGCGCGGCCAAGCGAAAGCAUUAAGUGUCCCACCUGGGGAGUACGCCGGCAACGGUGAAACUCAAAUGAAUUGACGGGG